rnacentral:rRNA from 11 species
CUGUGAAGGUGGCUCGAGAGGGCUGCUGGAGGUAUCGGAAGUGCGAAUGCUGACAUGAGUAGCGUUAAAGCGGGUGAAAAGCCCGCUCGCCGCAAGCGCAAGGUUUCCUACGCAACGUUCAUCGGCGUAGGGUGAGUCGGCCCCUAAGGCGAGGCAGAGAUGCGUAGCUGAUGGGAAGCAGGUCAACAUUCCUGCACCGGCUGCAAGUGCGAUGUGGGGACGGAUCAAGCUAGGUCAUCCGGCGGUUGGAAGUGCCGGUUUAGGCAGAAGUAGGCGACACGUAGGCAAAUCCGCGUGUCACAUACCGAGGCUGUCGAUCGAGCGGGCUUGUCUCGCGAAGUGACCGAAUGGGGUCCCAGGAAAAGCCACUAAGCUUCAGCUUGCAGUCGACCGUACCGCAAACCGACACUGGUGCGCGAGAUGAGUAUUCUCAGGCGCUUGAGAGAACUCGGGAGAAGGAACUCGGCAAAUUGACACCGUAACUUCGGGAUAAGGUGUGCCCUAGUAGCGUGUAGAGAACAUCGAAGCGCGAAUGGGUUGCAAAAAAUAGGUGGCUGCGACUGUUUACUAAAAACACAGCACU